UACAGAGGGUGCAAGCGUUAAUCGGAAUUACUGGGCGUAAAGGGCGCGUAGGUUGUUAUGUAAGUCAGAUGUGAAAGCCCUGGGCUUAACCUGGGAAUGGCAUUUGAAACUGUAUGACUAGAGUGAAGUAGAGGGUAGCGGAAUUUCCGGUGUAGCGGUGAAAUGCGUAGAUAUCGGAAGGAACACCAGUGGCGAAGGCGGCUACCUGGACUUUAACUGACACUGAGGCGCGAAAGCGUGGGUAGCGAACAGG
rnacentral:rRNA from 1 species